CCCCAGAUGUUGCUGAACUACAACUCCCAUGAUUCAAUGGCUAUCUGUUUCAUUGAAAGAAUCAUGGGAGUUGUAGUUCAGCAACAUCUGGGG
rnacentral:miRNA from 1 species